UACGUAGGGUGCAAGCGUUGUCCGGAAUUAUUGGGCGUAAAGAGCUCGUAGGCGGUCUGUCGCGUCGGCUGUGAAACCCGGGGCUCAACCCGGGCCUGCAGUCGAUACGGGCAGACUAGAGUGCGGUAGGGAGAUUGGAAUUCCUGGUGUAGCGGUGAAAUGCGCAGAUAUCAGGAGGAACACCGAUGGCGAAGGCAGGUCUCUGGGCAUUAACUGACGCUGAGGAGCGAAAGCAUGGGAGCGAACAGG
rnacentral:rRNA from 1 species